AACACAUGCAAGUCGAGCGGUAGCACAGAGAAACUUGUUUCUUGGGUGACGAGCGGCGGACGGGUGAGUAAUGCUUGGGAACAUGCCUUUAGGUGGGGGACAACAGUUGGAAACGACUGCUAAUACCGCAUGAUGUCUACGGACCAAAGUGGGGGACCUUCGGGCCUCACGCCUAAAGAUUGGCCCAAGUGGGAUUAGCUAGUUGGUGAGGUAAUGGCUCACCAAGGCAACGAUCUCUAGCUGGUUUGAGAGGAUGAUCAGCCACACUGGAACUGAGACACGGUCCAGACUCCUACGGGAGGCAGCAGUGGGGAAUAUUGCACAAUGGGCGAAAGCCUGAUGCAGCCAUGCCGCGUGUGUGAAGAAGGCCUUCGGGUUGUAAAGCACUUUCAGUCAGGAGGAAAGGUUACGUUUUAAUAGAACGUAGCUGUGACGUUACUGACAGAAGAAGCACCGGCUAACUCCGUGCCAGCAGCCGCGGUAAUACGGAGGGUGCGAACCGUUAAUCGGAAUUACUGGGGCGUAAAGCGUACGCAGGCGCGUUGA
rnacentral:rRNA from 1 species